CCUACGGGGGGCAGCAGUGGGGAAUAUUGGGCAAUGGGCGCAAGCCUGACCCAGCAAUGCCGCGUGAAGGAAGAAGGCUUUCGGGUUGUAAACUUCUUUGACAGGGGAAGAGCAGAAGACGGUACCCUGAAAACAAGCCACGGCUAACUACGUGCCAGCAGCCGCGGUAAUACGUAGGUGGCAAGCGUUGUACGGAUUUACUGGGUGUAAAGGGCGUGUAGCCGGGAAGGCAAGUCAGAUUUGAAAUCUGGAGGCUCAACAUCCAAAUUGCAUUGGAAACUGUUUUUCUUGAGUACUGGUGAGGCAGACGGAAUUCCUUGGGUAGCGGUGAAAUGCGUAGAUAUAAGGAGGAACACCAGUGGCGAAGGCGGUCUGCUGGACAGCAACUGACGGUGAGGCGCGAAAGCGUGGGGAGCAAACAGGAUUAGAUACCCUAGUAGUC
rnacentral:rRNA from 1 species